AGUGAACGCUGGCGGUAGGCCUAACACAUGCGAGUCGAACGGCAGCACAGUAAGAGCUUGCUCUUACGGGUGGCGAGUGGCGGACGGGUGAGGAAUACAUCGGAAUCUACUUUUUCGUGGGGGAUAACGUAGGGAAACUUACGCUAAUACCGCAUACGACCUACGGGUGAAAGCAGGGGAUCUUCGGACCUUGCGCGAUUGAAUGAGCCGAUGUCGGAUUAGCUAGUUGGCGGGGUAAAGGCCCACCAAGGCGACGAUCCGUAGCUGGUCUGAGAGGAUGAUCAGCCACACUGGAACUGAGACACGGUCCAGACUCCUACGGGAGGCAGCAGUGGGGAAUAUUGGACAAUGGGCGCAAGCCUGAUCCAGCCAUGCCGCGUGGGUGAAGAAGGUCUUCGGGUUGUAAAGCCCUUUUGUUGGGAAAGAAAAGCAGCAGGUUAAUACCCCGCUGUUCUGACGGUACCCAAAGAAUAAGCACCGGCUAACUUCGUG
rnacentral:rRNA from 1 species